rnacentral:rRNA from 1 species
UACGUAGGGUGCAAGCGUUUAAUCGGAAUUACUGGGCGUAAAGUGUGCGCAGGCGGCACCGCAAGUCGAGUGUGAAAGCCCCGGGCUUAACUUGGGAAUUGCGCUCGAAACUAUGGUGCUGGAGUGUGGCAGAGGAAGGUGGGAAUUCCGAGGUGUAGCGGUGAAAUGCGUAGAGAUCUGGAAGGAACACCGAUGGCGAAGGCAGCCUUCUGGGCCAACACUGACGCUCAUGCACGAAAGCGUGGGGGAGCAAACAGG